UGAGGUGAAGAAUGUACCUUGUGGGAC
rnacentral:piRNA from 1 species